GACAGAGGGGGCAAGCGUUGCUCGGAAUUACUGGGCGUAAAGGGCGCGUAGGCGGGAUGGCAAGUCGGUCGUGAAAUCCCUCGGCUCAACCGAGGAACGUCGAUCGAUACUGCUGUUCUUGAGGAUUGCAGAGGAGACUGGAAUUCCUGGUGUAGCGGUGAAAUGCGCAGAUAUCAGGAGGAACACCGAUGGCGAAGGCAGGUCUCUGGGCAUUAACUGACGCUGAGGAGCGAAAGCAUGGGGAGCGAACAGG
rnacentral:rRNA from 1 species